rnacentral:rRNA from 1 species
UCGGGAAUUUUGGGCAAUGGGCGAAAGCCUGACCCAGCAACGCCGCGUGAAGGAUGAAGUAUUUCGGUAUGUAAACUUCGUAAGAAUAGGAAGAAUAAAUGACGGUACUAUUUGUAAGCUCCGGCUAACUCCGUGCCAGCAGCCGCGGUAAUACGGAGGGAGCUAGCGUUGUUCGGAAUUACUGGGCGUAAAGCGUACGUAGGCGGUGACUCAAGUCAGAGGUGAAAGCCUGGAGCUCAACUCCAGAACUGCCUUUGAAACUAGGUCGCUAGAAUCACGGAGAGGUGAGUGGAAUUCCGAGUGUAGAGGUGAAAUUCGUAGAUAUUCGGAAGAACACCAGUGGCGAAGGCGGCUCACUGGACGUGUAUUGACGCUGAGGUACGAAAGCGUGGGGAGCAAACAGGAUUAGAUACCCAAGUAGUCCCUGAGCGGGCUGGCAAGGCGCAU